UACGGGGGGGGCUAGCGUUGUUCGGAAUUACUGGGCGUAAAGGGCGCGUAGGCGGCCUACUAAGUCGGACGUGAAAUCCCUCGGCUUAACCGGGGAACUGCGUCCGAUACUGGUGGGCUUGAAUCCGGGAGAGGGAUGUGGAAUUCCAGGUGUAGCGGUGAAAUGCGUAGAUAUCUGGAGGAACACCGGUGGCGAAGGCGGCAUCCUGGACCGGUAUUGACGCUGAUGCGCGAAAGCCAGGGGAGCAAACGGG
rnacentral:rRNA from 1 species